ensembl:lncRNA
GACUGAACCAGGACUAAACCAGGACUAAACCAGGACUAAACCAGGACUAAACCAGGACUAAACCAGGACUAAACCUGGUCUAAACCAGGACUAAACCGGGACUAAACCGGGACUAAACCGGGUCUAAACCGGGACUAAACCGGGACUAAACCGGGACUAAACCGGGACUAAACCGGGACUAAACCGGGACUGAACCAGGACUAAACCGGGACUAAACCGGGACUAAACCAGGACUGAACCAGGACUGAACCAGGACUAAACCAGGACUAAACCAGGACUGAACCAGGACUGAACCAGGACUGAACCAGGAC